rnacentral:rRNA from 1 species
AUGAGCAACCCAGCCACAAAGAGAGACCGAAUAGGUCUCAGUUUGGCCCCCGAGUGGCGUUUCUCUUAUAGCCAGUUAGAACUCUUUAAAUUGGUGCUGUUCAGGUUUUCGCCCCAUGUCAUUCGUCACGAUGUCGGUCGAAUGUGGUGGGUUUCCUGGCAGUGCUUGAACUCGCUUUUCCCCUUUCCCUCCCUUUUGAACUUGAGUCUGAAACUGUUGUAUUUCCGUUCAUUGCAAUGGAAAGGGGUUAAUGCCCGGUUCAAAAAAAAAAGAGAGACCGAAUCAUUUCUUCAGAAGCUAGCUGGUCACGCAGGAUCGUCGACCAUGAAGCGGUCUUCUUCUUCUUCUUCUUCGUCGUCCUCGCCCCUCGCACGCGCCGCGGCAAUCCUCCUGGUGAUCGUAUGCUGCUGCUCCCUGUUGCCAUGCCCAUGCUCUGCCAACGACAAAUUUGGUCAGGAGUCUGGCGGUGGAGAAGGGUCCGGUAACCAUGAAGGACGGGGACCACCGUCCCCGUGGCAUAAUGUCGGUUACGACACGAGCUACCCGCCAUACGGGCAUGAAGGGUUAGGGACCCGUGAAGGAUCGGGGCCACCGUCCCCCUUGCAUAAUGGCGGUUACGGCGCGAUCUACCCACCGUACGGGCAUGGUGGUGCUGCUCUGGCGCCGGCUCCUUCCAUGGCAGCACACCGCAAGGACCUGCAGGUCAGCAGGAACUGA